rnacentral:lncRNA from 1 species
UCCCUGCAAUAGAAUUUGGCCUUGUUUCUGGCAGUCUCAUAUUCUAGAGAACAUUAAACACUUUUUUGGCUAUUGGGUCAUAGGAGCCUCCUACCAUUAACUUUCGUUAUAAGUUAUAACCAUCAUAUUUGCUUUGAUUUUUCUUGGCACAAGUAUGUUUUGUCUUAGGAGAAUAUUGCCCAUGCUCUGAGAUUGCUCAAAAGCUAGACAAGUUUGGCACCUUUCUAUAGACACUCCUCC